rnacentral:tRNA from 1 species
CGUGGCCCAGUGGUUAAGACGACAGGCCCAUAACCUGGAAGUCGCAGGUUCAAGCCCGAGC